AUUGAACGCUGGCGGCAUGCCUAACACAUGCAAGUCGAACGGUAACGCGGGGGGCAACCCUGGCGACGAGUGGCGGACGGGUGAGUAAUACGUAGGAAUCUGCCCAUUUGUGGGGGAUAACCCGGCGAAAGCCGGGCUAAUACCGCAUACGCUCUACGGAGGGAAGCGGGGGAUCGUAAGACCUCGCGCUAAUGGAUGAGCCUACGUCGGAUUAGCUAGUUGGUAGGGUAACGGCCUACCAAGGCGACAAUCCGUAGCUGGUCUGAGAGGACGACCAGCCACACCGGAACUGAGACACGGUCCGGACUCCUACGGGAGGCAGC
rnacentral:rRNA from 1 species